GGAGCCUGGAGGGGCUUGGAGGGCAGAGGAGGAGCCCGGAGGAAGGAAGGCUGAGGAGGCUCUUGGGGGAGGAUGGCUUAGUCUGGACAGGAAAAGGGCUGGAGCAAGAGGUUGAGAAGGGCUCUAGGAGGAGCUCUGGGCCCAGGACAGCUGCCCCCCAGCCAGAGACAGAGAUCCCUCGGGUUGGAUCACCGGCUUUGUGGCCCUCUCCCUAACUCCAUCAGGUAGGCAAGGUGCAUUGUGGGAGGGGAGGGAGGCCUGCCAGUCCUGCUUGGCUGCUUGGGUCUGAGAGGGGCUUCAUCAGCCCCCAGUCCCGGGGGGUCUCUGGCAGCGCCGGGUCCAGGAGGCGAGAGCUGACGUCUUUUCAUUAUGGCGCCUCUUGUUCUCUAGCCUGUUCCAAUUACCAGCGCCUGUUACUUAUUUAUGAACAAACAAACAUUAUUACGCUCUACCGGAAAGGCUUGGGGGUAGAUCGCUGGGGGCCCUGGGACCUGUAUUACAGCCCGGGUGCCCCACUCUGUGCCACACACAGGAUGAAACAGUUCCUGCCCCAGAGGGUUACCCAAAGGAAACAGAAAGCAUGCGGUCAGUUUGGGGAGGGAGUGGAGCUAGCUGCUCCUUGAAUCCCUGCGGGCUUCAUGGAGGCUGCGCUGAGCCUUGAAGGAGCCAGUCAGAGAUGCAAAAGUAAACUUCCAGGUGCGGGGGGGUGGGGGGGGGGGGGGGGGGGGGGGGGGGGGGGGGGGAGCCUGGGACAAAGGUCUGGAAGCUGGAGCUGUAACGCUGCCCUGGAUGGGUGGCCAGGGGACAGCCUGAGGGGGCGCCGGCCCGGGCCAGAAUCAAAAAUCGAGGUUUCUCGGAAAAGGCAGUUUAGGGACCUUGACUGGGCCGGGAGGGAAAACACGGGGGGGUGGCAACCUGAGGAAGGGUUACUGGGGGCUGAGGAGCUGCCAUUGGAAAGGCCUUGAAUGACAGGUUGAAGAGCCUGCCGUUGAGAACGGUGCCCCCUUGCUCGGGAAGCCGCCCCGGACCUCCCUCCCUCUGCUGCCGGUGGAAGCCUCUCCAAGCCUAAUUUGGAAGCGACGGCGCCGAGAACUUGGGGCUGGGCCGGGGCCGGACCCUGGUCCCCAGCCCGGGGGUCUGUGUGCCGGCCGUCAGUCCGCGUCUCGCUCUCCCCGGGUCCAAGCCCUCCCGGCCCGGGCCAGGAACGAGACCCCCACUCUCCGGAGCCCCCCGCGCCGCUGCUGAGGGUCAGCCGCCUCCUUCGCCUGGCGGGGCGCCCGGGUCCGUUCUCCCUUUGUCCGGGUCCGGCCCGGCCCGCGCGCCCCGCGGUCCCGGCCAAGCCGAGCCGGAGGGGCGGGGGCGGUCCGGCCCCAACCUCUUGUCCCGGGCCGUCGGGCCCCCUCCGCCCCCGCCCUCCUCUCUCGGGUUUCCUCUUCCUCCCGCCUCCUUCGCUCGACGCCGGUGUGUGCGGGGCCCCGGCGGAGCCCGGGCCGGGAGGAAGGAGGAGAAGGGGUGGCGGCGGCCGGGCUGGGCAGAGCGGAGCUCGCGAGGGCCCGGCUCGGGGAGACCUUGGGGGGCUUCUCGCCCUGCUUCCCCGCCUCGGCUUCGGCCGCGAACCCCGGGCGCCGCCGCCUCGGCUGCUUGGUCCCGCGUCUGCCCGGCUCCCGAGGCGUCCCCGCCGCCAGCCCGGACCCCCGAAAGUCCGGAGACUCCAGGCCCGGGGCAGUCCUGCAGUCCCGCCGCGGCCCGGGCGGCCAGAUCCCCAGGCGCCAGCACGGGUUCUCUGGGUGCUCCCCCUGACCUCCCCUUGCUCCUGGGCGGCCCCAUGGCUCAGCCCAUUCCAUCCCCUGGGGAGAAACGUCUCGGGCCACGUCCUCAUCCCUGACCCGGGACCCCCGCCCAGCCGCAGACAGUGGGCCUAAGAGAACUGGGCGUUGGGUGCCCGCGGAUGCCCAAGACUUCCAGGGCCGGUGUGAGCGGCCAACAGCCCAGCAUGGAGCCCGGCGUCCGGGGCACCGGGCAGAUGGCCUUCCUCAGCAAUCUGCUGGCGGCUUACUCCUUCAUCAGUGAGCACCCUGAGCGCGCGGCCCUGUGCUUCGUGUCCGGCGUGUGCGUGGGGCUCGUGCUCACGCUGGCCGCCUUGGUGCUGACCGUGUCCUGCCGCGCCGACUGCCGGCCGCGGCGCGGGAAGAAGGGCCCGGCCGGGCGCCGCGGCGGCAGCUG
ensembl:lncRNA